AAAGGUAGCCUUCCUCCCUGAAGGGCCCCAGGUCCCAUCUGAUCUGGGAAGCUAAUCAGGGUCAGCUCUGGUUGGGAUCUGGGUGGGAGGCCAGCAAUCAAUCCCAGGGAGGUGCUAUUA
rnacentral:rRNA from 11 species